rnacentral:rRNA from 1 species
AGAGUUUGAUCCUGGCUCAGAUUGAACGCUGGCGGCAUGCCUUACACAUGCAAGUCGAACGGCAGCACGGACUUCGGUCUGGUGGCGAGUGGCGAACGGGUGAGUAAUGUAUCGGAACGUACCUUUCAGUGGGGGAUAACGUAGCGAAAGUUACGCUAAUACCGCAUAUUCUGUGAGCAGGAAAGCAGGGGAUCGCAAGACCUUGCGCUGAUUGAGCGGCCGAUAUCAGAUUAGCUAGUUGGUGGGGUAAAGGCCUACCAAGGCUACGAUCUGUAGCGGGUCUGAAGGAUGAUCCGCCACACUGGAACUGACACACGGCCAGACUCCUACGGAGGCCAGGGGAAUUUUGGACAAUGGGGGCAAGCCUGAUCCAGCCAUGCCGCGUGUCUGAAGAAGGCCUUCGGGUUGUAAAGGACUUUUGUUAGGGAGCAAGUCCUGCAGGUUAAGAGCCAGUAGGGAUGAGAGUACCUAAAGAAUAAGCACCGGCUAACUACGUGCCAGCAGCCGCGGUAAUACGUAGGGUGCAAGCGACAGGACCCUGAUCCAGCGGGAAAAGCCACUAGUAGGUGCAGCGUUAUCGGAUUACUGGGCGUAAAGGGUGCGCAGGCGGUAUUGUAAGCCAGAUGUGAAAUCCCCGGGCUCAACCUGGGAACUGCGUUUGGAACUGCAAUGCUAGAGUGUGUCAGAGGGGGGUGGAAUUCCACGUGUAGCAGUGAAAUGCGUAAGAUGUGGAGGAACACCGAUGGCGAGCACCCCCUGGAUAACACUGACCUCAGCCAAAGCGUGGGACAAACAGGAUUAAUACCCUGGCCAACAUAUAGUCCACGCCCUAAACGAUGACAACUAGCCGUUGGGAACUUCGGUUCUUGGUGGCGUAGCUAACGCGAGAAGUUGUCCGCCUGGGGAGUACGGCCGCAAGGUUAAAACUCAAAGGAAUUGACGGGGGCCCGCACAAGCGGUGGAUGAUGUGGAUUAAUUCGAUGCAACGCGAAAAACCUUACCUGGUCUUGACAUGCUAGGAAUCUCUGAGAGAUCGGAGAGUGCCCGAAAGGGAACCUAGACACAGGUGCUGCAUGGCUGUCGUCAGCUCGUGUCGUGAGAUGUUGGGUUAAGUCCCGCAACGAGCGCAACCCUUGCCAUUAGUUGCCAUCAUUAAGUUGGGCACUUUAAUGGGACUGCCGGUGACAAACCGGAGGAAGGUGGGGAUGACGUCAAGUCCUCAUGGCCCUUAUGACCAGGGCUUCACACGUCAUACAAUGGUCGGUACAGAGGGUUGCCAAGCCGCGAGGUGGAGCUAAUCUCAUAAAACCGAUCGUAGUCCGGAUCGCAGUCUGCAACUCGACUGCGAGAAGUCGGAAUCGCUAGUAGUCGCGGAUCAGCAUGUCGCGGUGAAUACGUUCCCGGGCCUUGUACACACCGCCCGCCACACCAUGGGAGUGGGGGAUACCAGAAGUAGGUAGGAUAACCGCAAGGAGUCCGCUUACCACGGUAUGUUUCAUGACUGGGGUGAAGUCGUAACAAGGUAACCGUA